CUGUAUGUGAGCGCCUCAAUCUGGUUGGGUGAGCUCGGGCUAUAUAAAAGGGAGCUAAAGCUACUCUCUCUGUCAGUCAUUAGUCUUGCUAGGCGGGAGGUGGGCAGUGUUUCCGCUGAAUGGAUUAGUACCUGCAAAGGCUGAAGACACUGUUGAAGAGGAGCUGAGGGAGUUUCUUUGAUGCUAAUGUUGAGGGAUGCUCAUUAGCCACGGGAUACACUGAUCACCGCAGACAUGCUCAUCGGACUGGGUAGACUGACUCCGGGAUACUUCAGACUCCUCCAGAGGCAGGUGGCUGGUGAGGUCCAGACACAGCCAAAAGACCGGAUGGUGAAUCACAUCGCCAUGCUGUUAGCCAUAGUGGGACUGGGCUUGUCCUACUACAGCACACGGAAAAUGACAGCACAGGCCAGAUCCAUACCAGCACCCUGAACCAGGCAGGCCUGGGGGAGAGAGAGGGAGAGGCCAGCCAUAAGGAGAAGAGGGAGAGUUUGAAUGCCAAUCAUGGUCAGGAUCACCCAAGGGACACAUCUGACAAGCAUAUAGCGUACAGGUUUCUGUCAGAAAUGGUCAAUGCUUUGCAAAUGGAUAGCCUUUGAAUUCUUCGUCAGAUGGUUGUUUUUAACUUUGAAUAGGUUUUUGGAUAUAUAGAAUGGGGAAUGCAGCAAAAAGGGAUGGUUUUCGGGAUAUCAUUGUCAUGUUUGAUUAAGAUUUAAUAACUACCCUCCAACAAGUAUUGUCACGCAGGGUGCUGUGAUCCCGGUUGGAGUGUAGCGCACAUUCAUGUAAUAUUUGAUAAUGAAUGUCAUGUGUUGCAUGGACAUGAGUUACAAAUAGCAUACAGGCGGUUGCCAGCACUGUAAAGCAGCCAGGGAGAGUGGACCACAGAAAAAAAAAAAACAGUGUAAUUCCACUGAUAAUAUUGUACUAAAGGAGCUCAGUUACAAUAGACACAAAUACUGAAAAAUAUGCAUGUUAAUGGGGUUUUAACUUUGUAGAUUGGAGUCAAAUCUUAUCAAUGGUUACCAAGCACUUUUAUCCUUCUUAUGAAUGUUUUUCUUAGUAAUCAUAUUUUAAGCUUCAUAUGUUGUGCUAAGAAACUAUAAAAAUGAAUGGUGGCUUUGUACCAGUAAUGGAAGAUACUAAUGAGUAAGCCAUUUAUUUGCAUGUUUAUGGAUUUCUAAAUAACACAUUUGCGCGUCAGUUUUGAGGCCUGUGCGUUUAAUGCAGCCUUCUGUUUCCUACUUCCAUUUUCCUGCCCUCUCCCUCCUAAGGACUCCAGAUUUUAGUUUUUCUUUGCCUCGGUUCACAAAUGUCCCCGUCAGCAAGGUCAGGUUUCUUCUUACCGUUUCCCUGACAGCAUUUAUCUGGAGGGGCAGAGAUUGUUAUGAAGCUAAAACAGGUCUUACCAGAGCAGGCUGUACCCAGAUUUGCAAUUUACAUUUAGCUUUUUCCGAGGAGUACUAUGGCUUGUGAUGUGCUGCACCAUGCUUUUCUGUGACUUACCAUUGCGUAUUGCUACAGUAUGCUUUGCUACACUUUGCAAUGCUUUCACCAUCCUCCCCAUCAAAAAGUAGGCCAGCCUUAGCCGUUUAACUAGGACUGAGUUCCAGUUUUAAAUACUACAUUUGAUAACAAUAUGGUAGGAGUUUGACAAACUGUGAUCAAGGAGAUACUGUAAUGUUGGUUACUUUAUAUACUAUAUACUUGAAUUGCUAAGGCAAAAGCUAGUUAUUUUAACUUGGGAACUAUAGGUGCCAAGCCUUUUUAAGUGCACGCUAUAUAUUGCAGGUGUUUAAUUUUAAAGCUGCUUUACAGAUAAAAUACAUGACUGUUCUAAAACACGCUGGUCUAUAAAAACAGGCAAAACCUAAAGGGCUUCAGUGAGGAUCAUCUGGUGCCUCAGGCUGGAUGAUGCGUCCUGUUUUUCCAUCUGGGAGAGUGCAUGUUUUUGUAGCAGACGUGAUUCGGUGUGACAAGCAGAAUCCAGUAUAGGGACACGUGCCGGCCUCUUGCAUGCAGUCUGCCUGACCUGGUUACAGAUCAGCCUCCCCAGGCAUCAGAUAGAGAGGGGAACGCUUCAAUAGAGACCCAGAAACACGGACGCCAGAGGAUGAUCUGUAUUGGCACAUGUGUUAUAUAAGCCAUAGCUGUGACGCAGGCAUGGAACGGGAUGCUGUUCUUCGUUAUCGUAUUUUAAAGGUGUGUGUGGUUUUUUUUUUUGUUUAUUUGGAAAGGAUAACAUGCCUUCAUAAUAUGAGCAUAAUGUUAAAUUCCCUACAGGUCUAGUUUAAAAUGUACGGGUGACGUAUCCUAUAGGUUUAUAUAUUAUACUGUGAAUUUUAUUUUUUCCUUGUGAAAUUUUCCCAUGAAAAUGACAGCAGUUAGGGCCCUGCUCAAACUUAAGGACUGCUUUAAAGAAUGUUUUGUUAAGGAAUGUGCUUUUGAAGUGUUUUAUAAACAUUCUCGUGGGUUAGUGCUUUGACACUUUGAUUUAUUUGAACAUGCUACAACUAGAAUAUUAACAUGUGGUUUUCAUUUUAGUUAUAUAUAUAUAUAUAUAUAUAUAUAUAUAUAUAUAUAUAUAUAUAUAUAUAUAUGUAUAUAUAACUGGUAUUACAUGUAUAUUACUAUAUAACCUGCUGUAAGUAUUACUGUAACCUCUUUUAAAGUGCCUUUAGACAAAUUGAACCCUGUUUCAUUGUGAUACAAUGGAGUUGAUGAAACUUAAAUAGUCUAAUGAAGUUGAAACAUUUGUCUUUAUUUUGUCCUGUUUUCUUACAGAAUUUAUAAUUGAAUGUAUGAAUUUAUGGAUAAUUUAUCAAUGAUAAAAAUGAGAAACAUUAAUAUGUAAAAGCUUUUAAAGAAAGAAAUUCCCAUUUAUAUGAAAUAAUAAAUAAGUGAAUUAUUACAUAAUAAUUAUAGAAAGAAUAAUCCUUGAUAUACCUUUCAAGCCAUUAUUUUUCUACCUAUAUGUGUGAAAGAGACAAACACUUUGAGCCUGUUCUUCUUACUGGACACAAUGUGACAAAUUUGCCUUUUGUAUUGCUGCUAAAUGUUAAAAUACAUAAAUAAGCAUCUCUAAACACAAA